rnacentral:rRNA from 1 species
AUUGAACGCUGGCGGCAGGCUUAACACAUGCAAGUCGAGCGGAGCGAGGGUGCUUGCACCUUAGCUUAGCGGCGGACGGGUGAGUAAUGCUUAGGAAUCUGCCUAUUAGUGGGGGACAACAUUCCGAAAGGAAUGCUAAUACCGCAUACGCCCUACGGGGGAAAGCAGGGGAUCUUCAGACCUUGCGCUAAUAGAUGAGCCUAAGUCGGAUUAGCUAGUUGGUGGGGUAAAGGCCUACCAAGGCGACGAUCUGUAGCGGGUCUGAGAGGAUGGUCCGCCACACUGGGACUGAGACACGGCCCAGACUCCUACGGGAGGCAGCAGUGGGGAAUAUUGGACAAUGGGCGGAAGCCUGAUCCAGCCAUGCCGCGUGUGUGAAGAAGGCCUUUUGGUUGUAAAGCACUUUAAGCGAGGAGGAGGCUACUUAGAUUAAUACUCUGGGAUAGUGGACGUUACUCGCAGAAUAAGCACCGGCUAACUCUGUGCCAGCAGCCGCCGUAA